GAAGCCUUAGUUCAGUGGUAGAAUGCAUGAUUCCAGAGAGGUGCUCCGCGUCUUAGGACUCCAUGUGGUCACAGGUUCAAUCCCUGUAGGCUUCA